rnacentral:rRNA from 1 species
AAUAUUGGACAAUGGGCGAAAGCCUGAUCYAGCAAUGCCGCGUGAGUGAUGAAGGCCUUAGGGUUGUAAAGCUCUUUUACCAGGGAUGAUAAUGACAGUACCUGGAGAAUAAGCUCCGGCUAACUCCGUGCCAGCAGCCGCGGUAAUACGGAGGGAGCUAGCGUUGUUCGGAAUUACUGGGCGUAAAGCGCGCGUAGGCGGUUACUCAAGUCAGAGGUGAAAGCCCGGAGCUCAACUCCGGAAGCUGCCUUKGAAAAGCUAGGUGACUAGAABCUUGAGAGAGGCKAGUGGAAUUCCGAGUGUAGAGGUGAAAUUCGUAGAUAUUCGGAAGAAGCACCAGUGGCGAAGSCGACUGCGCUGGACAAGUAUUGAGCGCUGAGGUGCGAAAGCGUGGGGAGCAAACAUGGAUUAGAUACCCUGGUAGUCCACGCCGUAAACGAUGAUAUACUAGCUGCUAGGGCCCAYAGGGCUUUGGUGCMGCACWARCGCMUUMMGUUAUSCGGCUGGGGGAGURCGGUCGCAAGAUUAAAAC